CACAAAUUAAAAUAUGAAGGCUUCGGCUGGAUUAUUUUUAUCACCCUCGUCUUUUGCGCACUUGUUGUUUCCUGGGCGGGUUCGCCCGCCACCAGGACCACACCAUAAACCUUUUUUAUGCAGUUGCAAUCAGCGUCAGUAUAACAAAUGUAAAUCAUUUA
rnacentral:misc_RNA from 1 species